GAUCGUACGUGUAUUGGUUUUGCAUGAGGUGUUUUUUCUUUUUUUUCGCAGAAUCUUUCUUUCUCUCCUGCACUAUAGUUGAUGUCGUAUAUAUUUAGCAGCAGUAGUAGUAGGUUGUGUUAUACUGUAUUAUUUAUGGUUUUCUGGACAAGAGCAUGCAGUGCCAGCGUGUGGGCACCAGGACUACUGCUGGAGAAAAGACCCUGGUUGGUGAAGACCAAAUGAGAAUAUUAGAGAGAGAAUUAAAGGG
rnacentral:lncRNA from 1 species